rnacentral:lncRNA from 1 species
UCCCCUCUCCUCAUUCCUUACCUUCUCAAGGGUACAAAUGACCUAAUUGCUCAAAAAAUACCAAUAUUUUUUCUGUUCUCAUCUUCUUUGAUAUUACCAUAAUAGAAGACAGAAAUUACCAGAACUUCUUUCUUAAAACUAUUCUUUUCUUGGCUGAGACUCACAAAUUCUCUAUCCUUCAAGUUUUUCUUUAAAAUUUUCUUUGUGCUAUUUUCUUUCUCUCCCAGCUCUUUAAGCACCAGGUUUUCCAAGGGUCCUGCAUGCUUUUUCUGGUUCAUUCAUCCAUCCCUGUGUCCUCGUUAAAUAGGUAAAUGUGUUCCAUGGUGGAUUGCUGUAUCUAUCAACUCUUCACCUAGGUAUUAAGCCCCACAAGCAUUAGCUAUUUGUUGCUCAAUUGUGUAUCUUCUUUAGAGAAUUGUCUACUUAUGUCCUUAGCCCACUUUUUGUCUGGCUAUUAUGUUUCCAACAAAUAUAAAAGUAAUGAAACUGAAGAAAGAGGUUUGACAAUAGAAGAGAUCAAAUGUUGAGUAAAUCCAUAUGA